AGAGGGGUGCGAGCGUUAAUCGGAAUUACUGGGCGUAAAGGGCACGUAGGGUGGAUAAAUAAGUUGGGCUGUGAAAGACCCCCGGGGCUCAACCUGGGAUGGUCAGCCAAUACUGUUUAUCUAGAGUACAGUAGAGGGAAGUGGAAUUUCCGGUGUAGCGGUGAAAUGCGUAGAUAUCGGAAGGAACACCAGUGGCGAAGGCGGCUUUCUGGACUGAUACUGACACUGAGGUGCGAAAGCGUGGGGAGCGAACAGGAUUAGAUACCCUGGUAGUCCACGCCGUAAACGAUGAGAACUAGCCGUUGGGAAGUAUAUCGUUUUUAGUGGCGCAGCAAACGCGAUAAGUUCUCCGCCUGGGGAGUACGGCCGCAAGGUUA
rnacentral:rRNA from 1 species